rnacentral:rRNA from 1 species
GAUGAACGCUGGCGGCGUGCCUAAUACAUGCAAGUCGAGCGAACAGACGAUGAGCUUGUUCCUCUGACGUUAGCGGCGGACGGGUGAGUAACACGUGUAUAACCUACCUAUAUGACUGGGAUAACUUCGGGAAACCGGAGCUAAUACCGGAUAAUAUAUUGAACCGCAUGUUUCACUAGUGAAAGACGGCUUUGCUGUCACUUAUAUAUGGAUCCGCGCCGAAUUUGCUAGUUGUUUAGGUAACGGCUUACCAAGGCGACGAUGCGUAGCCGACCUGAGAGGGUGAUAGGCGACACUGGAACUGGAACACGGACAAGACUCCUACGGGAGGCAGCAGAAGGGAAACUUCGGCAAUGGGCGAAAGCCUGAAGAAGCAAGGCCGCGUGAGUAAUAAAGGUCUUCGGAUCGUAAAACACUGUUAUUAGGGAAAAACAAAUGUGGAAGGAAAAAUGCACGUAUUGACGGUACCGAAUCAGAAAGCAACGGCUAACUACGUG